rnacentral:lncRNA from 1 species
UCUAACCUUAUAUGCCUAAGGGCUGGUAAUUCCACACAUUGUACUACUCUAUUACAACAUUCAGUCUUUAAAGUGUAAGCAUUGCCUGAGUUCCUGAAAGCCCUUGGAACUUUAAAACACUCUAAGAGAAGGCCUUGGAAUCUUGAAUCCGGAUUUGGUGAAACACGUGUAUUGGAUGUUGAAGGUUGCACUGAGCCUCCUCAGGUCUGGCUUUAGUUUUGAUGUACUUACUUCAGUCUUUUUCUUUCCAGUUUCGUAAUAACUAUGUAAUAAAACUCGGGAAAAAUAUUAGUAAAGGUUUUGGGAUGGGUUUAUAUUUCUUGCAUAAGUCAAUAGGUAGAAUUCAUGUCUAUAGGACCUUUUAUGCUUUAAUCAUCUAUAUACUAUGCCUAUGGGAUUCUAAUAUUGCAUAUCAUUUAGAAAUCAUGUCUAUAGGAUCUUUCAUGCUUCAAUCAUCUAGUAACCAUGCCUAUAGGACUUUAAUAUUGCAAAGCAUCUAGACGCCAUGCCUAUAGGACUUUAAUAUUGCAAAUCACUUAGAAAUUAUGCCAAUAGGAUUCUAAUAUUGCAAAUCAUUUGGAGUCAUGUCUGUAGGACUGUGCAUUGUAGUUAAAAUAGAGAUCCUGCCUAUAUGAAACGCAUAAAACAUUAGGCAAACCAAAGGGUAACUCUCUCACAUGCUUUAAAAAUUCAAUGUAGACAUUAUGACUAUAGGAUUCCAUCUCAACUUGUUUGGUUCAUUUUAAACAAUAACAGUCCGUUAAUUGGCCCUUUAAUGUAGUAAUACAAUGUUUUCAAUAAAACUCUUGUAAAUCAGUAUGCUUUUAAAAACAUUUCAAAUCUGCAUCUUUUCCUAAACAGUUCUUUUAAACAUUCUGCCUAAAUGUUUUACUUAGUCACUGAAAUCGUCUUUGAAAUAGUCCUGUAACUCGCUCUUUUUCUUGAGAUAUUCCUCCCUCUGAAACUAUUUCAUACAGUCCCUGAGAUUGUCUUUUAAAUAGUCCUGUAAUUCAUUCUUUUCUUAAGACAUUCCGGCCUCUAAAAAUCUUUCAUAACUCUGCUGCAUUUUUUUCUUUUCUACUCAAACAGUCUGUUGUUUCAAAAUCCAUUUACAAAUUUACUGCAGUCUUUACUUGCUUUUAACUCUUCUACAUUAAGACCUCAAUAACUAACAAAUCAGACCCGAUGGGCUCAAUGUAGACUUUUAUUCAACUUUAUGAGUUAAAUUGAUUCAUCCCCCUCGUAAUUUCUUAACUUUACAGACCAAACCAGUUCGUGCAAUUCAUGCUAAACUAAUUGAUGUUAUGAUCUAUGGAGUUUUGUGUGAGCCUUUGAAUGUUUGAUUUGUACCCCCCUUAUUUUUUAUUUGUUUGUAUUUACGCUUUAGUAUUUUAUCCUUUUAAACUCCAUAUAUGCUGCCAUCCAUUUUCUUCCCCCUUUAGAAUAGAAGUCCUAAUACCCCGGGACUGAUAGGUCGGGACGGGUAUUAGCAUGUAAUAAGUAAACGAGUCUAAUCGCGUUUAAAUACCUUAACAGGGUGGGAAAGGCAGAAUAUAGAGAUGAUGAUGAUGCCUAAUAUCUCGUGUGAGAAAGAUUGCUGGGUAUUGCACUGAAUGACCCAUAUUAUAAUUAAACCUAGGACUCCUUCUUUUCUUGCUUUUCCUUUAUUUAAAUUAAUAUUUUCUUCAAACUAAGCUUUCUUUUCACUUGUGCCUUUCUUCUUUCAAAAUUGUUAACUUUAUUAUGUGCAAACUUUGCUUGUUUAUUCCUACUCUUCUUAAAGUAACAACUAAGCAUAGCCGAGAACCACAUACUGGAUCUUGAGGGGUGCCUAACACCUUCCCCUCGAGAUAAUCUCAAGCCAUUACCCGAACUGUGGUUUUUCUUUCAAAAUUAUCUUCUUUUAAGUGUCCUAGUGCACUAUAAUCAUUAGGUGGCGACUCUCCAAACUCCAUUGCCCAAAUUCCCCAAAAGUGGGAUAAAUGAGUCAUUCCACCCAUAAUGUCGUAAUCCCGAUUUCUCCUUGGAAAAGAGGGGCCGUCGACAGCAUGGUGACUCUGUUGGGGAUUUUCUAUAAGGCUUUUACCAUUACUUAUUUUUGUGACAUUAUCGCUUCCUUAAUCGCAUUUAUUUCUCGUCCUUGGUUAUUUCAUCAUAUAACUAACUUGGCUCUUCAUGUUUUCCUUUCCUUUUAAUAUCCGCCUUACUGCCUUAUUAUUUCAAUAUUAUUAAAAAUUCGAGCAACCAUUGUAUUCAUUUAUCUUAUGAACGUGAAAAUAUGUGUAAUUUGUUUCAUUAUUAUAACUGCAUUCCUCAACAUCAUAUGCCACUCGUGCCAAAACAAAUCCUAUAGCAACGCUUAUAAUGAAUGGUUGCGCCCUUCAGAUAUUAUAAACCCCCUAAAUGUGGCAAAGGCAUAUUUGCGGUAAAAUUAGUCGAUCAAUGAUCUAGUCGACGGUUCCGCGCCUUUCCCUCUUGAGUUGUACGCUAAAGGGUACCUUGCAUAGCACUUCAAAAGUAGAAACUUUAUUCCAUUAAACCGUUCAUGCAUCAUGGUCAACCCUAGCCAAGUCAGUUAUAUUGUCCACAUAAUGACUCCUAAGAUAGCCUAAACAAAGUCCAUCGGGUUUUCUCGAAACCCAAACAGACGCCUUCACGUUAUAUGCAUUUAUUUGGAGAACUAAAUUCCUUUUUCUAAUUAUUGAUUUAAAUAGUCGAGUCUGCUGGGGUUAAGGGCCUAACACUUUAUUUUGCAGAAAAUGAGUCACGAGGUCCCCAGAUUCGGUUUGGUAUCCAACGUUCACCCAACGUUACUCAGCCGGUCGGAAGAUCUUCAUGGCAGUGAUCAAACCCUCAUCCACAAGAACUUAGGGAAUUUGCCCUCACUUUUGGAAAUCCAGCCCAACAAUAAGAUCAUUGGGAUUGACACAUUGUUUUGGGAUAGUGAUCGAUCAGUGUUCCGCUUUGGAGACUUGAAAAUUAACCCUUUUUCCAGAAGAGAUAGGGG